AUUGAACGCUGGCGGCAGGCCUAACACAUGCAAGUCGAACGGUAGCACAGAGAGCUUGCUCUCGGGUGACGAGUGGCGGACGGGUGAGUAAUGCCUGGGAAACUGCCCGAUGGAGGGGGAUAACUACUGGAAACGGUAGCUAAUACCGCAUAACGUCGCAAGACCAAAGUGGGGGACCUUCGGGCCUAACACCAUCGGAGGUGACCAGAUGGGAUUAGCUAGUAGGUGGGGUAAUGGCUCACCUAGGCGACGAUCCCUAGCUGGUCUGAGAGGAUGACCAGCCACACUGGAACUGAGACACGGUCCAGACUCCUACGGGAGGCAGCAGUGGGGAAUAUUGCACAAUGGGCGCAAGCCUGAUGCAGCCAUGCCGCGUGUAUGAAGAAGGCCUUCGGGUUGUAAAGUACUUUCGGCGGGGAGGAAGGCGGUGAAGUUAAUAACUUCACCGAUUGACGUUACCCGCAGAAGAAGCACCGGCUAACUCCGUGCCAGCAGCCGCCGUAA
rnacentral:rRNA from 1 species